GAUGAAGAACGCAGCGAAAUGCGAUAAGUAAUGUGAAUUGCAGAAUUCAGUGAAUCAUCGAAUCUUUGAACGCACAUUGCGCCCGCCAGUAUUCUGGCGAGCAUGCCUGUUCGAGCGUCAUUUCAACCAUCAAGCCCCAGGCUUGUGUUGGAGCCCUGCGGCUGCCGCAGCCUCCCAAAACCAGUGGCGGGCUCGCUAGUCACACCGAGCGCAGUAGCACAUCUCGCUCAGGGCGUGCGGCGGGCUCCUGCCGUGAAACCCCCCACUGUAACCCCAAAGGUUGACCUCGGAUCAGGUAGGAAUACCCGCUGAACUUAAGCAUAUCAAUAAGCGGAGGA
rnacentral:misc_RNA from 1 species